rnacentral:rRNA from 1 species
AAUGAACGCUGGCGGCGUGCCUAAUACAUGCAAGUCGAACGCACAGCGAAAGGUGCUUGCACCUUUCAAGUGAGUGGCGAACGGGUGAGUAACACGUGGACAACCUGCCUCAAGGCUGGGGAUAACAUUUGGAAACAGAUGCUAAUACCGAAUAAAACUUAAGUGUCGCAUGACACAAAGUUAAAAAGGACGGCUUUGGUCGGUCACCUAAAGAAUGGAUCCGCGGUGCA